ensembl:lncRNA
UUGUAAUGCAAAUCUUUCUAACAUCACAGCAUUCUGCAUUCCCAAAAUGGAAGUUCAUCUUAAUGGAAUUGUUGCAGUGAGCAUAAUAUUUAAUGAAACAAAUAUUAUCACAAGACAGCUUACAGAUGGUUUUCAAGGAUUAAAUGGAUUUAAGAGCCUUAAUGUAUCUGGACCAUGGAAAAAUGGCAACAUUAUUUUCGAAGUGGAUAUCAGUGUCAUAUUUCCAACUGAUAAACUUACAGAAAUAUUAAGGUCCAUGGAAACAAGAAUUGGCUACUCUGCCAACAUAUCUGUUGAAACAUCAGGAAUUGUGAACAUCCUUUAUCCAAAGGACAUGGUAGAUUACAACUCAACUCAAAUGUUGAACUGCACAAUUAACAAUGAAAAUUACGGCUCCUGGAAUUGGGACUUCAUUGCAGGAAAUAAUACCUACGUUCUGAAUAAUGGAACCAGCAUUACCAUCACAUCCACGGCAGCUUGUACCACAGUCCAAAUUAACAGUUUGUCAGGAAUGUGGGCAGAAGGGAUUUAUAAGUGUGGAUUUUCCAGUGGGUCCAUUGUGCAUGCAGCCACUGCAGAGCUGAAGGUAGCCCUGCUACCCGAUACGAUCUCCAUGACGAGCGACCCACUGACAGUCGAAUGCCCAAAGGAUGUUAUGGUCAAUGCAACCAUUCAAAACAGCCCUGAGAAUUACACUGUAACGUGGACAUUAAACCAAGUACCAGUUACAUCCCAAACACCAUCAGUCCAAACAGAUGGACAAAUCACCUACCGCCUAAAUUCAAAGAUAACAUGCCAACAACCAUCUACAAAUGCUAUUAUUAUCACUGUAAAUUUUAUGAACCAGAAGAACAAGAACAAGACUCAAAAUAUAAUUAUCCCAGUGAUUGAUGAUAAUGUCCAGGUUUGUCAGGAAGACUCUCCUUGGCCAAAAACUCCAAAAGGCUUCACUUUAGUAAUCCAACAAUGUGAGAUUGGGAGAGUGGGGUAUCAAGAACGGA